CUGUCAGGCCGGGGGCGAGCUGUGGGGACCCCCAGCUGUGCCCCGCAGUGCAGAGGGCCACGGAGAACUUGACCAACUCAUUUCAAGCGGUCACAGCCUAGUUUUCAAAGACCAACAAACUGGAACCCAAGUGUACUCACUGCUGACUUGUGACUGUUACACUCUGCCGGGCUCCUGAGUUCUGGUUGCCAUCUAGACAGCGGUUUGAAAAUGCUGUUGUGCAGCCACUGGUCACCACUCUGUGACAGAGAAGUGGAAAAAAUGGUGAUUUUAAUGUUUCUUCUGUGAAUCCCAAAGUCAGGAGUCUCUCUGCCCAGCCAUAAUGUUUCAAUGAUACUAAAUUCAUGACUGUCAGUGGCACUAGUAUCUUUGAAGACUGACUACUGCAAAAGAAAGUGGAACAAAGUAGGAAAAUUCAAGUGAAAUGAAGAACAUGUUAGCAUGAAUUGAACUUGCAUGAUUGGACCCAGCACUCCUCAGCACACAGUGGGAGCCACAUACCCUGCUGCCCACACCUCAGGGACCCCUCAGGGCUGGGGCUGCGCCACACCUGGCCCCGUGAGCACAGACCCAACCUGGUGCCCUUGCUCAGGGC